UAAGACGUAGGAGGCGAGCGUUAUCCGGAUUCACUGGGCGUAAAGCGCAUGUAGGCGGUUUGAAAAGUCCGUUGUUAAAGCCCCUGGCUCAACUGGGGGAGGUCAAUGGAGACUUUCAGACUUGAGGGCAACAGAGGCACAUGGAACUCCCGGUGUAGCGGUGGAAUGCGUAGAGAUCGGGAAGAACACCCGUGGCGAAGGCGGUGUGCUGGGUUGCAACUGACGCUGAGAUGCGAAAGUGUGGGGAGCAAACGGGAUUAGAUACCCCGGUAGUCCACACUGUAAACGAUGAACCCUAGGUGUGGGGGGAUAAAACCCUCCGUGCCGAAGCCAACGCGUUAAGGGUUCCGCCUGGGGACUAUGAGCGCAAGCUUA
rnacentral:rRNA from 1 species